UUGGGCGUAAGCGCGCGCAGGCGGCCUUUUAAGUCUGAUGUGAAAGCCCCCGGCUCAACCGGGGAGGGUCAUUGGAAACUGGAAGGCUUGAGUGCAGAAGAGAAGAGCGGAAUUCCACGUGUAGCGGUGAAAUGCGUAGAGAUGUGGAGGAACACCAGUGGCGAAGGCGGCUCUUUGGUCUGUAACUGACGCUGAGGCGCGAAAGCGUGGGGAGCGAACAGGAUUAGAUACCCUGGUAGUCCACGCCGUAAACGAUGAGUGCUAAGUGUUGGGGGGUUUCCGCCCCUCAGUGCUGCAGCUAACGCAUUAAGCACUCCGCCUGGGGAGUACGGCCGCAAGGCUGAAACUCAAAGGAAUUGACGGGGGCCCGCACAAGCGGUGGAGCAUGUGGUUUAAUUCGAAGCAACGCGAAGAACCUUACCAGGUCUUGACAUCCCGCUGACCGGUCUGGAGACAGAUCUUCCCCUUCGGGGGCAGCGGUGACAGGUGGUGCAUGGUUGUCGUCAGCUCGUGUCGUGAGAUGUUGGGGUUAAGUCCCGCAACGAGCGCAACCCUUGAUCUUAGUUGCCAGCAUUUAGUUGGGCACUCUAAGGUGACUGCCGGUGACAAACCG
rnacentral:rRNA from 2 species